rnacentral:rRNA from 1 species
GACGAACGCUGGCGGCGUGCUUAACACAUGCAAGUCGAACGAUGAACCUCCUUCGGGAGGGGAUUAGUGGCGAACGGGUGAGUAACACGUGGGCAAUCUGCCCUUCACUCUGGGACAAGCCCUGGAAACGGGGUCUAAUACCGGAUACGACCUGCCGAGGCAUCUUGGUGGGUGGAAAGCUCCGGCGGUGAAGGAUGAGCCCGCGGCCUAUCAGCUUGUUGGUGAGGUAACGGCUCACCAAGGCGACGACGGGUAGCCGGCCUGAGAGGGCGACCGGCCACACUGGGACUGGGACACGGCCCAGACUCCUACGGGAGGCAGCAGUGGGGAAUAUUGCACAAUGGGCGAAAGCCUGAUGCAGCGACGCCGCGUGAGGGAUGACGGCCUUCGGGUUGUAAACCUCUUUCAGCAGGGAAGAAGCGAAAGUGACGGUACCUGCAGAAGAAGCGCCGGCUAACUACGUGCCAGCAGCCGCCGUAAAAC